rnacentral:rRNA from 1 species
UAUGUAGGGUGCAAGCGUUAAUCGGAAUUACUGGGCGUAAAGCGUGCGCAGGCGGUGAUGUAAGACAGUUGUGAAAUCCCCGGGCUCAACCUGGGAACUGCAUCUGUGACUGCAUCGCUGGAGUGCGGCAGAGGGGGAUGGAAUUCCGCGUGUAGCAGUGAAAUGCGUAGAUAUGCGGAGGAACACCGAUGGCGAAGGCAAUCCCCUGGGCCUGCACUGACGCUCAUGCACGAAAGCGUGGGGAGCAAACAGG